GGUGCGGCGCGACUAGGAUAUGUAUUUUAAUUGAAUUACUCAAGUUAGCAUUCAAGUUGAAGUUCAAGUUCAAGUUCAAGUUCAAAAUUCAGGUUUUAAAGGCCGGGGGCGCGUGGAAGGUCGAAUGGCGAGUCAAAUGUUUUGUAUUUAUCUUUCUUUAAAGAUGUUAUUUUGAGUAAAAUACUUUAAAUAAAAAUUUAUUUCACUAUU